rnacentral:rRNA from 1 species
UACGGAGGGUGCAAGCGUUGUCCGGAAUCACUGGGCGUAAAGGGCGCGUAGGCGGCUCAUGAAGGCUGUGGUGAAAGUCCGGGGCUCAACCUCGGAUCGGCCGUGGCGACUCGUGGGCUGGAGCACUGUAGAGGCGGGUGGAAUUCCGGGUGUAGCGGUGGAAUGCGUAGAGAUUGGAAAGAACACCGAUGGCGAAGGCACUCUACUGGGCUAGAACUGACACUCAGAGACGAAAGCUAGGGGAGCAAAUGGG